CCUACGGGUGACAGCAGUGAGGAAUAUUGGUCAAUGGACGCAAGUCUGAACCAGCCAAGUAGCGUGCAGGAUGACGGCCCUCCGGGUUGUAAACUGCUUUUAGUUGGGAAUAAAAGGGGGCUCGUGAGCCCCGUAUUGUAUGUACCAUCAGAAAAAGGACCGGCUAAUUCCGUGCCAGCCGCCUCGGUAAUACGGAAGGUCCGGACGUUAUACGGAUUUAUUGGGGUUAAGGGGAGCGUAGGCCGGAUUUUAAGUCAGCUGUGAAAGUCCGGGGCUCAACCGUGGAAUUGCAGGUGAAACGGGUGGCCUUGAGUGCACACAGGGAUGCCGGAAUUCAUGGUGUAGCGGUGAAAUGCUUAGAUAUCAUGAAGAACUCCGAUCGCGAAGGCAAGUGUCCGGGGUGCAACUGACGCUGAGGCUCGAAAGUGCGGGUAUCAAACAGGAUUAGAUACCCUAGUAGUC
rnacentral:rRNA from 1 species